UACGGAGGGUGCGAGCGUUAAUCGGAAUAACUGGGCGUAAAGGGUGCGUAGGUGGUACAUUAAGUUAGCUGUGAAAUUCCUGGGCUUAACUCAGGGGGGUGAGCUAAUACUGAGGUACUAGAGUAUAGGAGAGGGUAGUGGAAUUUCCGGUGUAGCGGUGAAAUGCGUAGAGAUCGGAAGGAACACCAGUGGCGAAGGCGGCUACCUGGCCAGAUACUGACACUGAAGCACGAAAGCGUGGGGAGCAAACAGG
rnacentral:rRNA from 1 species